rnacentral:lncRNA from 1 species
CUGGGGUCAAAAGGCUCAACACUGCAUGUAUUCCCAUGAUUCCCUGGGAAAAGUCCACAUUACCAACAGGAAACAGAUCAGUGGCUACCUACAGUUUAGGGAUGAAGCGGUAUUUAGUUGUGGGAAACCCAGGAGAUUUUGUUUAAGAUUAUAGAACCAAUCUGCGAGGCUCUGUGAGGAGAGAAACAUGAUUUUACACACAGUUGUCAAACCAGGAGAAUUUCCAAGCACAAAGAGUGAACUUUAAUGCAUGCAAAUUGGUUUUCUUCAUCAAGGAAGAGGCUAAGAGACCAACCAAGGAGUGCAGAUCCUCAUGCUUAUGCAACAGUGUCAUCUGGCUACUGUGAUCUACUUGGGUGAUCGAAACAACCGAUGGACGUGUAGAUUUCUACUGGCCUGUGAACUUCUUGGGGCUAGUACCACGUGUGUUUUAUUCAAUGCUUAAAAUGCAAAACAGCUCCGUCCUCAGACCUGGCAGCCAUAGAGCCUUCGGAGCUGCGUUCCAGACCCUCUACACCGCGUGGAUGACAACAUACCUGUCUGUACGGCUCAUACCUUGUAUACCUCAGUCUUCAGUCGUGGGCCAGGCUGAGCUUCGAGCAACUUCUGCAGCCACCUACUAUCUCUGUGCCACAAAACCCAGGGUGGUCCCCACUUUCUUCUCAGGUUACAGAUGCUCCACCUUCUCCUUCCUGCGGGCUGUGCACUGGCCACAGUUGUGGCUGAAGAGAAUGGGGCAAGCUGAGGACAAUGCCCUCCUUGGCUUACGUGCCCCAUUUACAAGCUUUAGUAUGUGGGAAUGGUGUAGCUUGGGGUGUUGGGAAAGGGAUGGUAAUGAGUACCUCAGAGUCUUGUACUGAGCCUGGGGGACUUCACAUUUUGGCCAGAUGCCAGCCCUACUGGGUAAUGGCUAGAUACAGAUAGUAAUCCCAAGAGAAGGGAGUGUGGAUUGUGUGUGUGGAUAGUAAUUCCAAGAGAAAGGAGUGUGGAUUGAGAGGGAAGACUCCAACGACCCAGAUCCCAUGAACAAGUGUUGUCAGCUGCCUAACAAUGCCCUCACACAUGUCAAGGACAAUAAGAAAGCCAAGUACAGAUUUGCUUUGGAAAUCACAGAUCCCAUUUUUUCACAUCAUGAGAAGGAACAGGCAGUGGUCCUAGAAAAGAAUCAAACCAACUUAACCCAAUUUGUCACCAAAUACAACAACACAUAUCCCUAAGUAAUUGAGUGGGGACAUUUGUAGUCUCCCCUCCCUCAGCCUGAAACCUGCUUGCUCAGGGGUGGAGUUUCCCGCUCAAUCGUUCUGCCACGCUUACUGCUGGAACCUGCCACUUUGCUGUUCCGAAGCCAUCACGUGAUCACCCUGCUACUGGACUCCAAGAUUAUUUGUCGGGAAUUGGGCCCCUCCCCCUUCCUUUAUAACUGAGUGCCGAAAUAGUAAAAAUUGAACCUUGAGCAGAGAGCUUUGUCUUGGUUCCUUCCUUAUCUAGCGCAGCCCAGC